GAUGAACGCUAGCGGCAGGCCUAAUACAUGCAAGUCGAGGGGCAGCACGGUAGCAAUACUGGUGGCGACCGGCGCACGGGUGCGUAACGCGUAUGCAACUUACCCUUUACAGGGAGAUAGCCCGGAGAAAUUCGGAUUAAUAUCCCAUAGUAUAUAGAUUUGGCAUCAGAUUUAUAUUAAAGAUUUAUCGGUAAAGGAUGGGCAUGCGUGUCAUUAGCUAGUUGGUGAGGUAAUGGCUCACCAAGGCGACGAUGACUAGGGGUACUGAGAGGUUACACCCCCACACUGGUACUGAGACACGGACCAGACUCCUACGGGAGGCAGCAGUAAGGAAUAUUGGACAAUGGGCGAGAGCCUGAUCCAGCCAUGCCGCGUGCAGGAUGACGGUCCUAUGGAUUGUAAACUGCUUUUGUAUGGGAAUAAACCCAGAUACGUGUAUCUGGCUGAAUGUACCAUAAGAAUAAGGAUCGGCUAACUCCGUGCCAG
rnacentral:rRNA from 1 species